rnacentral:rRNA from 1 species
CAAGGUUAAAACUCAAAUGAAUUGACGGGGGCCCGCACAAGCGGUGGAGCAUGUGGUUUAAUUCGAUGCAACGCGAAGAACCUUACCUACUCUUGACAUCCAGAGAAUUCGCUAGAGAUAGCUUAGUGCCUUCGGGAACUCUGAGACAGGUGCUGCAUGGCUGUCGUCAGCUCGUGUUGUGAAAUGUUGGGUUAAGUCCCGCAACGAGCGCAACCCUUAUCCUUUGUUGCCAGCACGUAAUGGUGGGAACUCAAAGGAGACUGCCGGUGAUAAACCGGAGGAAGGUGGGGAUGACGUCAAGUCAUCAUGGCCCUUACGAGUAGGGCUACACACGUGCUGCAAUGGCGUAUACAAAGAGAAGCGAACUCGCGAGAGCCAGCGGACCUCAUAAAGUACGUCGUAGUCCGGAUCGGAGUCUGCAACUCGACUCCGUGAAGUCGGAAUCGCUAGUAAUCGUAGAUCAGAAUGCUACGGUGAAUACGUUCCCGGGCCUUGUACACACCGCCCG